GCCUGGAAUGAACCUGACGUCUACGAGACCAGCGACGCGCCCGAGGAUGACCAGGCCGAGUUCGAGGCGGAGGAGCUCACCAGCACCAGCGUGGACCAUCUCAUCAUCAACCCCAACGCCGCUUACGAAAAGUUCAGGGACAAGCGCCUGGGCACCGAGGCAGUGGAUUUCUCUGACAGCAUCAGCAAGACCAGGACAACGGGUUACGAGUCUGGGGACUAUGAAAUUGUGAGUCCAGAGCGCAUGAGGAUGUGAGC